rnacentral:tRNA from 1 species
GGUUUGAUAUCCUUUUGCGUUUACGUUUCGGCCGUAGAUUUGGAGUUUUUUGCUUCUAUCAAAGGU